rnacentral:lncRNA from 1 species
GGCAAUCCUCUCCGGUCCCCUUCCGGGCUGUGGGAGCUUUGUUCUUUUGCUCUUUGCAAUAAAUCUUGCUGCUGCUCGCUCUUUGGGUCCACAUUGCCUUUGUGAGCUGUAACACUCACGGCGAAGGUCUGCAGCUUCACUCCUAAAGCCAGAGAGACCACAAACCCACCGGGAGGAACGAACAACUCCAGACGCGCGGCCUUAAGAGCUGUAACACUCACCGCGAAAGUCUGCAGCUUCACUCCUAAAGCCAGCGAGACCACGAACCCACCAGGAGGAACGAACAAUUCCAGAUGCGCCGCCUUAGGAGCUGUAACACUCACCGCGAAGAUCUGCAGCUUCACUCCUGAGCCGGCGAGACCACGAACCCCACCAGAAGGAAGAAACUCCGGACACGCCGCCUUUAAGAACUAUAACACUCACGGCGAGGGUCCACGGCUUCAUUCUUGAAGUCAGUGAAACCAAGAACCCACCAAUUCCGGACACAGCAGGAUCCCACCCACAGAACCGCCAGGUGCACAGCUGCAUAUCCUCAGGGGAAAACUCCCCUCCCCUGCCACCUUACUGAUAGGCUUCACUUCCCAGAGAACUUUCCCAAUCCUGUGCAAUGCCUGAGUGGUACAUUGUAUUCUAUGAGAAUGGCGCCCCCGCCUCCAGAGUUGUGCAACAAGACUUCCAUGAAUCAAAGCCCAUCGCUGGCUGCCUCCUCUAGCCCUGCAUAGCCCAGGUACAUCUGAAAGGAGUGAGAAGUGUUUUGAGGGCUCUCCCUGUCUCUUCCUGCACCUCUCUCUUGUGAUCCCAGAAGCUACAACCUCAGCCCAGAUUAGCAGGCUGAGGGGUCAGGAGGCUGUCACUGGAGCUGUUGAGCUCAUGAACACGCCGAAGUUGCUGCGCUCCAGAAAUGUGGAAGUUGGAAUGAAGAGCCACCACUGCUGCCACCAACAUGAAGCUUGACCAAGCAAGCCAAGAAAAGAUGGCCAAGAGCCUCUGCCUUCCUUCUGCCUUCUGCAACGCAAUGAGAAGGCUACUUGGACCUAAAGGAAUGAAUUAGGAAGCGGUCUACUACCAAAGUACAAUGAAGGUCAGUUUUCUUCAUACCUUAAUAUGAAAAACGUUUUAAAAUGUCUCAAUUUCCCUAUGCUAACCUCUGGUCACAGAGGCUUGAGGGCUUCCUAUAGUACCAAAGUAUGACUUGCCAGUUAAAAAGAAAACGAAUUCUUGCCCCCAGGGGUAAAGAUAACAAAUUUAGAACACUAUGACAUACAUCUAUUAAUAUUUGCAGAAGGAGUAUAUGUUGUUACAUUAACAUACAGAAAUUGCAUAGUUGAUCCAGAGGGAAGUCUGGAGAGUACAGGGAUGGAAAAAAGGAGGAGGAUGGAAAAGAAUGGGAACUAAAACUUAGGUGACUACGUUAAGGAUUACCCAUGAGAGCAAGACACAGGAUAAAGUACUGAAAACAAAAAAAAAAACUUAAUGUAACCACUUAUUUGAAUAAAUUGAUUCAUAUGAAUCCAAUUUGAUAGAUAAAAAAAGAUCAAA